rnacentral:rRNA from 1 species
CUCGUAGGCGGUUCGUCGCGUCCGGUGUGAAAGCCCAUCGCUUAACGGUGGAUCCGCGCCGGGUACGGGCGGGCUUGAGUGCGGUAGGGGAGACUGGAAUUCCCGGUGUAACGGUGGAAUGUGUAGAUAUCGGGAAGAACACCAAUGGCGAAGGCAGGUCUCUGGGCCGUCACUGACGCUGAGGAGCGAAAGCGUGGGGAGCGAACA